rnacentral:tRNA from 1 species
GCCCACGUAGCUCAGUUGGUAGAGCAACGCAUUCGUAAUGCGUAGGUCGCCGGUUCAACUCCGGCCGUGGGCU